AUCUUAUCAAGAGUGGUUGAGGGACUGGCCCUAUGAAACCCGGCAACAACUAAUUUUCAUUUAAAUUAGUAAUGUGCUAAUUCCAGCAGGAAAUUUUCCUGAAAGAUAAGAG
rnacentral:ncRNA from 2 species